GAAACCGAGGGUAAANACCGCAUGAGUCCUCGACGGCACAAGCCGAUGAGGGGAAAGGCGGGGCUCCUUCUGGACCUGUCGCCUCUGGAUGAGCCCGCGUCCGAUUAGCUAGUUGGUGAGGUAAUGGCUCACCAAGGCUGCGAUCGGUAGCCGGCCUGAGAGGGUGAACGGCCACAUUGGGACUGAGACACGGCCCAGACUCCUACGGGAGGCAGCAGUGGGGAAUUUUGGGCAAUGGGGGAAACCCUGACCCAGCGACGCCGCGUGGAGGAUGACGGCCGUCGGGUUGUAAACUCCUGUCAAGUGGGAAGAAGAGCUUGUCGGAUAAUACCCGGCAGGAAUUGACGGUACCACUAAAGGAAGCCCCGGCUAACUCCGUGCCAGCAGCCGCGGUAAUACGGAGGGGGCAAGCGUUAUUCGGAUUUACUGGGCGUAAAGCGCACGUAGGUGGCAUGGUAAGUCANCGGUGAAAGCCCUCGGCUCAACCGAGGAAUUGCCUUUGAAACUGCUUUGCUUGAGUCCGGGAGGGGGGGAGCGGAAUUCCCAGUGUAGCGGUGAAAUGCGU
rnacentral:rRNA from 1 species